GUUAGAUGUUUUAUUCUCGUCCAAAAUGGACGGUUUUAAAGACAUCCAAGAAUUGCUGUCACAACCUAUUAUAAGGACCAUCGCAGAUGCAGCCCUGCAAUUCCUUCAAGGAAUUGCAAACCAAAACCGCAAACAUUACUUCACUUUUAUGUUUGAGUAAGGUGUCGAUUCCAUCGACAUCAGAAUCCGAAUUCGUUGAUGGUGAAAGUUGGCUUGGGUAAGAGGACGGAUCGGCGACAGAGAAUCCUUCAGUAGGAGGUUUCGGAAGAGAUGAAAGUAAAUCCCUACCACAACCGGAAGGAUCGGCGACAUCUUCUUCUUUGAAAAUUUCACAGUUUAAUUCCCCAAGGGAGGCCACUGGAUUUCUGUUACCGGACAUGGAUCGCAAAGAAUAUCCAAGACGAUAACCAGACGGCCCAGCAAUAGGAGAUAUAUCCGAUGACGUUGUACACGAAUUGCCAGCACAAGAUCCACGGGUGACACUUUUAGUUAGACAUCAUCUAGUUUUUACAAUUCAGAGGAUUUUCCAGUAUGCCGCUAGAUGGUGUUUGUAUUGUUUUUAUGGCGAAAUGUGUGAACGAGUUAUGUCAUCUUUUGUAUUCGAAUUUUCAUGUUUUACUGCCCAAAACCAACCAAUUAUUUACAUAAAAUGUACCUGCCGUCUAGUCAUCAGAUUAAAUUUGGACCCCAUUUUAAGAUCAAAUUGCUCAACACUUCUGUAACUCACACCCCCAGCUUCAUCUGCAUCAUCCUCUCACAUUUCAGACAAAACUUCAAGCUGUUUUGCCCAAAAGUUGUGGGAUAGGAUGUAUAGUUACAGGUUCAUUCUGGCAUGAACAAUGUUUACACCUUUAAACCCUUUUGGUGGGGAUGUUGUGUCAUGAAAUUCUUUUGCUGCCAUUCCCUUCAUCUCCCACUUCACAGUACAAGAAAUGAGGAAGCCUACAAUAGAUUGAGGAAUCGUAAGGUUGUGUGAUAUGCUAUUGCAAUUUCAUACAUUUUUAAAUGGUUUGAAAUCCUGGAAGUAUGCUGACUACUAGCUCCGUUCAACAUUUGGUCUUGUAGCAGUCGCAUUUUUAGCCAUACUUCUCCGCCAGCCGUUUUUUAGUGGAGAGUCGGAGAGGUUGAUCCAAAAUCCUUUACACUAUUCGUUACAUCGCUGAGAUCGCGAUUCGGCCGCAUAUGUCGAUGUUCAACCCAGUUUCUUUAUUGGAAUUGUGUGGUCCUGGCAAGGAGAUCCUUGAGCCAACACUGGCUUUUGUCCAUGACAGAAGAGGGACUUCCACCAACGUUCUGCUCCAUCCUUAUCUUCACGACGUACGCUCAUCUGGCUUCUCUGCUUCUUAUGCUGCCACUCAACUUGUCCUACUUCACCGAUGACUUAGGCCACUUCAGUGGUCGCAUCCGUCUGUCGAGACACACCUGUAGUAACUCACCACGGAUGAUGCCCAGGUAAUGCAGAGGAGACGUCGAGAAGAUGUAUUUUCUCAUCUUUAAAAAUCGAUGGACAAUCGCGGCCGGCACCGAGACUCGUCAUCAACGUGGAUCAUCGUAUUGUUGGUAUUAUUUCGUUUGUGUUAGUUAACCCGUUUGCUGCCACGCCUUUGUUCUCCCCUAGCUCCUUAGCACGGGCCGCGCUGUUCGGUCUCGUGGUUUACAAGCCGCGGGGUCAGAAAGUCGCCAAGCCCAAAAUUUGCCGCAAGGCGCCUGUUAUAAGGCAAUGCACCAUAGUUCCCCCUUGUCAGACCGGACUUGUCAACAAUGGCAAGUCCCACUUGGUCAUGGAUCCUUCUGACGUGGGGCGUAGAGUAGUAGAGAGCAACCUACGGGUUGUACGGCGU